rnacentral:lncRNA from 1 species
CGGGCAUCUUCAGCUAAUUAUAUUUCUCAGCGGCAAUCUUAGAAUCAAGAACUUGUCAUUGGAUACAUGUAGUUUCAUUGGGAAUAGACCAUUUGAUUGGGAAGUCAAAGCCACCCUCUAGUUUACUCCUCACUAGGAUAUAUUUGUUACAGUUGAAAUAGAGAUGCCCAAUUUCAAAUUAUGGGUUCGCGACCCUUGCGAGCACUAAAUUACACCAUCCUGACUGAGGCCCUUCGUGUGUAGCCCUUCAACUGAUAUAUAUGCUGGAAGACACUGAGCAAGGGUGGCUCCUUUCGAAUACUACAGUUUAUGAAAUAAGCCACCAACGUCCACCAAGAUAGGCCAACAAGUUUCCCCAAUGCGAUCCUAUAUUCAUUCAAAGUAGUACAAAAGAAAAGAUUUAAUGUGAGGUGGAACCUAACUUCUAAUAGAUAAAGAGGUAGAAUGAACCUUCCUUUGGUGCCACUCAAUCGUCUCUCCCCUUGGACGAUUUUAAAAUCAUAAGAAAAUUUGGGCAACCGGAUUCCUCGAAUUUCUAAGUGUCAUACCAUUUCUUCCUUAUUUGUCAGGUAACGGUAGGCGGUACUUCAACUGACAUGCUAACUUUAUGAUUUUGGGGCUCCUUACCACCCUCAGUGGUCAAACUACUUUUGCGGCCUCAAUU